rnacentral:rRNA from 1 species
UACGGAGGGUGCAAGCGUUGUCCGGAAUCAUUGGGCGUAAAGCGUUCGUAGGCGGCAUAUCAAGUCUGGUGUUAAAGCCUGGGGCUCAACCCCAGUUCGGCACUGGAUACUGGUAAGCUAGAAUGAGGUAGAGGUAAUGGGAAUUCCUGGUGUAGCGGUGAAAUGCGUAGAUAUCAGGAGGAACACCGGUGGCGUAAGCGCAUUACUGGGCCUUUAUUGACGCUGAGGAACGAAAGCCGGGGGAGCAAAUGGG